GAUGAACGCUGGCGGCGUGCCUAAUACAUGCAAGUCGAACGAAACUUCUUUAUCACCGAGUGCUUGCACUCACCGAUAAAGAGUUGAGUGGCGAACGGGUGAGUAACACGUGGGCAACCUGCCCAAAAGGGGGGGAUAACACUUGGAAACAGGUGCUAAUACCGCAUAACCAUAGUUACCGCAUGGUAACUAUGUAAAAGGUGGCUAUACUACCGCUUUUGGAUGGGCCCGCGGCGCAUUAGCUAGUUGGUAGGGUAAAGGCUUACCAAGGCAAUGAUGCGUAGCCGAAUUGAGAGGUUGAUCGGCCACAUUGGGACUGAGACACGGCCCAAACUCCUAAGGGAGGCAGCAGUAGGGAAUCUUCCACAAUGGGCGAAAGCCUGAUGGAGCAACGCCGCGUGGGUGAAGAAGGUCUUCGGAUCGUAAAACCCUGUUGUUAGAGAAGAAAGUGCGUGAGAGUAACUGUUCACGUUUCGACGGUAUCUAACCAGAAAGCCACUGCUAACUACGUG
rnacentral:rRNA from 1 species